CUAAAGGUUAUAUUUUCCUUUACAGCCUGUUUGGAUACUGGCAUUUCAUUUGAAAUGCUGGAUUUGGAUUGAAUACCCUGUUUGGAUAGCUACAGGAUUUGUAUUUGAAUUUGGGCCAAAUUCCAUCUAAGUAAAAUAAAAGCCCACAUCAAAGAAUUUGAAAUAACUUUUUUACUGGUGUCAUUUGAAAUAAGACAGCCCACAAUUACACCCGACUUCCGACUCUUUCCACUCGCUCUCUCGACUCUAUGCCUUUGCUCACUCGAUCUAUCCAUUCGCUCACCUUCCGGUCUUGCGUCUCCAUCUCCUCCGCCACUUUCUCUUCAUUCUAUCCCUCUUCUGUCAGCUCAUAUCAGAGAUGAGUUCAAGGGGUAAUUCAGCUCAGUCGGCUCAUGUAAAUGUUCAUGUGUCAAACAUUUCGCAAAAGCGUCCGAGGGAGAAUGAUGAUGAUACGGAAUUUAUAAUAUUAGUUUUAGGUUUUAUUCAAGUAGUAGUGGCAGCUUGUUAUGGUAAGAAUUAUAGGCCGAAAGAGUUAACGUGGAAUGCACAUGACCGUUCUCAAAUUAGAGCUACUUGGAUGAAUACACUAAAGAUCGAUAGGAUAUGUCGUGAACAAUUGCGCCUUGAUAUACGACGAUUUGAGAAGUUGUGUUAUAUUUUGGAAACUAAAGGUGGAUUAGUAACUACAAAACAUGUCACUGUGAAAGAAAUUGUGGCAUUGUUUCUUCAUACUCUUGCACAUGAUUUGAAAAAUAGAACUAUACAAGCUGUGUUUGCACGUUCUGGAGAGACAGUGAGUCGACAGUUUCAUAUAGUACUUGGAUCAGUACUCAAGCUGGGGAAGGAUUACAUAAGAAAAGUAGACCAUGCCACUAGUUAUGUCCAUGAUAACCAAUGGAAAUGGUUUGAGGGUGCUGUUGGAGCUCUUGAUGGGACACACAUCAAAAUGACUGUCCCUGUUGAGGAUCGGCCUCGCUAUCGAGAUAGAAAAGGGGAUAUUAGCACUAAUGUUCUAGCCACGUGUGAUCCGGAUUUGUGCUUCACAUAUGUUUUGCCUGGUUGGGAAGGAUCGGCAUCGGAUCCUCGUGUUCUUCGCGAUGCCCUCCGUAGAUCAAAUGGCUUGAAAGUUCCUAGAAAAAAAUAUUUUCUCGUGGAUUUGGGCUUUACUAAUAGUGAAGGAUUCAUGUCUCCUUACAAGGGAACUCGAUAUCAUUUGAAUUUGUGGAGAGGAAACACUCCCACUAAUCACAAAGAACUUUUCAACUUGAGACACUCGUCCGCUCGCAAUACCAUUGAGAGGGCUUUUGGAUUGUUGAAGAAGCGUUGGGCUAUAUUGAGAGAUGCUAGCUUUUAUCCAAAAAAAAUUCAAGUUAGAAUCAUUAAUGCAUGUUUUAUUCUUCAUAACUUUUUGAGGGAGGAAAAAAUGGAGGAAAGAGUUUUUAUGCAAGAAGUAGAAAGAGACUUGGAUAGGAUGGAAGCAAUUGAUGUGGAAGAUGAUGAAGAUGAUUACAUAUCUACUGCUAGAUCAACAAAUGAAUGGAACGAAUUUAGAGAUGAUCUUGCAAAGAAAAUGUUUGAAGAAUAUGUUGGACGGACUAGAGCUACAUAAAUGAAUGGAACGAAUUUAGAGAUGAUAAAUGUUUGAAGAAUAUGUUUACUAUUCAUGUUUUUUUCAUGAUCUGUAUAAAAUUGAUUUUAAAAUGCUAAAGGUACCGCAGACAAGAAAAACAACCUAUGGCUCCACGAACUGAUCAACCAACUGUACCAGUUCAGAAAAGGGGAUAUUUAGCAUGGACCCCGGACAUGGAUAACAUAUUAACUUCAACGUUGUAUGAUCAGAUUAACG